rnacentral:tRNA from 1 species
CGCGUGGGCACGCUAACGUAGUGCUGGGCUCAUAACCCAGAGGUCGCAGGUUCAAAUCCUGUCCCCGCUA